CGCACGCAUGCCAGGCGAGCGCGCUACCGCUUGAGCCACAUCCCCAGCCCUGAUUGACACACAGGAGUUUCACAAGGUUUUUCUGCAAACCUGGCAUUUCUCUUAAAAAGGAGGAAGCUACAGACCACAAUGCCUUCUGCAGAUUUUUGCUGACAGCUGAUGUCCUGUGCAAAAAGCUCUGCUAUAAAAAGAGGAACUUACAUGCCACAAAUAUGAGUCUCUGAGAAACAUUUUCUCAGCCAGUCAGAAGCCCUGCGAUUUCCCAGCUGAGCUGAGCCGCUCCAGCCAGCAGCACCUCCAAGAACACAGAUCUCCUCCUGGCCACUCUGCAGCCAGCCUGCACUGCUCAUACGCACCCUGCAUGCAGGAGGAGGCACAGUCCACUUGGGGGUCCAGAGCACCUCCGCAGUGUUGGCAUGAUUGCAGCCAUCUUCCUUCCCCCCAAAUUGCAUAUUGUUCUUAUUCCAAAGAAAUAGAAACUAGCCUGAGAUAGAACUUAAGGUCUGGAGACCUGUGAGUCUCUCCUUGUUCUCUCAUUGACAGAUAGGAGACAACCUACCAGCCCCUGAGAUGGGAUGUACAGGUUUCCUUGUUCUCUCCUUGGGAAGAUAAAGGGACAUGCCAGUUUCCCUGUUACCCCUUCUGAGAGAUAGGAAAAUAGCCUGUUUUUGUUCUCAAGAAACAAACUUGCCUUCCACAAGAUCAGGGGGUGCUCACUAUGUCAGUCAAGACUAACCCUGUCCCUUACAUGUGGCCAGGAUUCUACCCAUAAAAGGUAACGUUCCAGGGGGAGUUGUGCUGCUGCUGUCCCUCUCUCUGUGCAGCGCAGACUCAUCAGGCUCCUGACAAUAAAUCUGCUUCUUAUCCCAG